GUGGGUUUCUCCUGGAAGAUAGGCAAUGGUAGAAAAGUUAGAUUCUGGGAGGACCACUGGUUUGGCAAUGCCACGUUGACUACCCAGUAUUGGGAGUUGUAUAAUUUAGCCAAUGAGCACAAUGUCGCUAUUGACAAAAUCUGGGUGGAAAACACUCUUAAAAUUUCUUUCAGGAGAUGUUUCACCCAAGAGCUUAUGAGUCUGUGGCAUGAGCUGCUUGAGAUAACUAAGUCUAUUGUGUAUACGGAUGUGGAGGAUUCCCUGGUUUGGAAUAUGAACUCCAAGGGAGUUUACACGGUCAAAUCCUUCUAUAAAUUUGUUAACUUACAGAGGAGUGCUGCCUAG
rnacentral:rRNA from 1 species